AGAGUUUGAUCCUGGCUCAGAUUGAACGCUGGCGGCAUGCCUUACACAUGCAAGUCGAACGGUAACGCGGGGGCAACCCUGGCGACGAGUGGCGAACGGGUGAGUAAUACAUCGGAACAUAUCCAGUAGCGGGGGAUAACCUAUCGAAAGAUUGGCUAAUACCGCAUACGAUCUACGGAUGAAAGCAGGGGACCGCAAGGCCUUGCACUAUUGGAGUGGCCGAUGUCAGAUUAGCUAGUUGGUGGGGUAAAAGCCUACCAAGGCGACGAUCUGUAGCUGGUCUGAGAGGACGAUCAGCCACACUGGAACUGAGACACGGUCCAGACUCCUACGGGAGGCAGCAGUGGGGAAUUUUGGACAAUGGGCGCAAGCCUGAUCCAGCCAUGCCGCGUGAGUGAAGAAGGCCUUCGGG
rnacentral:rRNA from 1 species